rnacentral:rRNA from 1 species
GACGAACGCUGGCGGCGUGCUUAACACAUGCAAGUCGAACGGAAAGGCCCUGCUUUUGUGGGGUGCUCGAGUGGCGAACGGGUGAGUAACACGUGAGUAACCUGCCCUUGACUUUGGGAUAACUUCAGGAAACUGGGGCUAAUACCGGAUAGGAGCUCCUGCUGCAUGGUGGGGGCUGGAAAGUUUCGGCGGUUGGGGAUGGACUCGCGGCUUAUCAGCUUGUUGGUGGGGUAGUGGCUUACCAAGGCUUUGACGGGUAGCCGGCCUGAGAGGGUGACCGGCCACAUUGGGACUGAGAUACGGCCCAGACUCCUACGGGAGGCAGCAGUGGGGAAUAUUGCACAAUGGGCGGAAGCCUGAUGCAGCAACGCCGCGUGCGGGAUGACGGCCUUCGGGUUGUAAACCGCUUUCGCCUGUGACGAAGCGUGAGUGACGGUAAUGGGUAAAGAAGCACCGACUAACUACGUG